rnacentral:tRNA from 1 species
UAGCUCAAUUGAUAGGGUGCAUGCUUAGCAUGCAUGAGGUCCUGGGUUCAAUCCCCAG